UACGAAGGGGGCUAGCGUUGUUCGGAAUUACUGGGCGUAAAGCGCGCGCAGGCGGUCUUCCAAGUCAGUGGUGAAAGCCCGGAGCUCAACUCCGGAACUGCCAUUGAAACUGUAAGACUUGAGGACGAGAGAGGUGAGUGGAAUUCCCAGUGUAGAGGUGAAAUUCGUAGAUAUUGGGAAGAACACCGGUGGCGAAGGCGGCUCACUGGCUCGUAACUGACGCUCAUGCACGACAGCGUGGGGAUCAAACAGG
rnacentral:rRNA from 1 species